rnacentral:rRNA from 1 species
ACCACCAGGAGUGGAGCCUGCGGCUUAAUUUGACUCAACACGGGGAAACUCACCAGGUCCAGACACAAUAAGGAUUGACAGAUUGAGAGCUCUUUCUUGAUUUUGUGGGUGGUGGUGCAUGGCCGUUCUUAGUUGGUGGAGUGAUUUGUCUGCUUAAUUGCGAUAACGAACGAGACCUUAACCUGCUAAAUAGCCAGGCUAGCUUUGGCUGGUCGCCGGCUUCUUAGAGGGACUAUCGGCUCAAGCCGAUGGAAGUUUGAGGCAAUAACAGGUCUGUGAUGCCCUUAAAUGUUCUGGGCCGCACGCGCGCUACACUGACAGAGCCAACGAGUUCCUUCCUUGUUCGAGAGAUCUGGGUAAUCUUGUUAAACUCUGUCGUGCUGGGGAUAGAGCAUUGCAAUUAUUGCUCUUCAACGAGGAAUUCCUAGUAAGCGCAAGUCAUCAGCUUGCGCUGAUUACGUCCCUGCCCUUUGUACACACCGCCCGUCGCUACUACCGAUUGAAUGGCUAAGUGAGGCUUUCGGACUGGCCCAGGGAGAGUGGCAACGCUCGCCCAGGGCCGGAAAGUUGUCCAAACUUGGUCAUUUAGAGGAAGUAAAA